AUUGAACGCUGGCGGAAUGCUUUACACAUGCAAGUCGAGCGGCAGCGCGGCCUUCGGGCUGGCGGCGAGCGGCGAACGGGUGAGUAAUGCAUCGGAACAUGCCCAGUCGUGGGGGAUAACACUUCGAAAGAAGUGCUAAUACCGCAUACGUCCUGAGGGGGAAAGCGGGGGAUCGCAAGACCUCGCGCGAUUGGAGUGGCCGAUGUCAGAUUAGCUAGUUGGUGGGGUAAAGGCCUACCAAGGCGACGAUCUGUAGCUGGUCUGAGAGGAUGAUCAGCCACACUGGGACUGAGACACGGCCCCGACUCCUACGGGAGGCAGCCGUGGGGAAUUUUGGACAAUGGGGGCAACCCUGAUCCAGCCAUUCCGCGUGAGUGAAGAAGGCCUUCGGGUUGUAAAGCUCUUUCGGCAGGAACGAAACGGUGGGCUCUAACAUAGUCCGCUAAUGACGGUACCUGAAGAAGAAGCACCGGCUAACUACGUG
rnacentral:rRNA from 1 species